AUUGAACGCUGGCGGCAUGCUUUACACAUGCAAGUCGAACGGUAACAGGCCGCAAGGUGCUGACGAGUGGCGAACGGGUGAGUAAUGCAUCGGAACGUGCCCAGUCGUGGGGGAUAACUGCUCGAAAGAGCGGCUAAUACCGCAUACGAUCUAUGGAUGAAAGCGGGGGACCGUAAGGCCUGGCGCGAUUGGAGCGGCCGAUGUCAGAUUAGGUAGUUGGUGGGGUAAAGGCUCACCAAGCCAACGAUCUGUAGCUGGUCUGAGAGGACGACCAGCCACACUGGGACUGAGACACGGCCCAGACUCCUACGGGAGGCAGCAGUGGGGAAUUUUGGACAAUGGGGGCAACCCUGAUCCAGCAAUGCCGCGUGCAGGAAGAAGGCCUUCGGGUUGUAAACUGCUUUUGUACGGAACGAGACGGUCUGGGUUAAUACCCUGGGCUAAUGACGGUACCGUAAGAAUAAGCACCGGCUAACUACGUGCCAGCCGCCGCGGUAAGAC
rnacentral:rRNA from 1 species